rnacentral:rRNA from 1 species
AGUGAACGCUGGCGGCGUGCCUAAUACAUGCAAGUCGAACGGAGUGGCGCACGGGUGAGUAAUAUAUAGCUAAUCUGCCCCUUGCUGGAGGACAACAGUUAGAAAUGACUGCUAAUACUCCAUAGCAAGGGAUGAGACUAUAUCGUAUCAGAUAGUCGGUGGGGGAACGGCCUACCGAGGCUAUGACGCGUAACUGGUCUGAGAGGAUGAUCAGUCACAUUUGAACUGGGACACGGUCCAAACUCCUACGCGAGGCAGCAGUAGGUAAUAUUGCGAAAUGGGGGAAACCCUGAAGCAGCAACGGCGCUUGGAGGCUUACACUUUGCAGGACGUAGACGCCUUUUGUAAGCGAAGGGGUACCUAACAAAUAAGCACCGGCUAACUCCGUGCAAGCAGCCGGGGUAUUU